ACCAAAAACAUAAUUGUAAUGGCUCGGGCGCUAUAACGAGUCACUGUGACUAUCUUGAUUAGUGGUUCUCCCAAUGCCAUUUGAUCAUGGAAACACCACAUACAUAC
rnacentral:snoRNA from 1 species